AAAAGCAAUUCGAUCACUCUUUUGAUCUUCAAAACGUCCAGCACAAGGACAAAAGCGCGGUACAACAAAAAUCCGAAAUUUUGGUCUAGCACUUCCAGUUGACUCUGAGAAGAUGCUCGAUUCGUACCAUACAAGUCAUAUAAGCCGAGAACCUAUCGCGGACUUUAAAUCGGUACGAUUCAGGAAGAAAUCGCAACAGGAAAAACGAUAGCUGGCUAGUCACCGCACAAACCUUAACCGAAAGUAAACCUAGGUCUUGCCCUAAACCCAACGGUCUGGUCUCAAACAUCUCAAGGCAUGAUAUCUAAAAGAUACGAGAUCCUAAACCAUGUCUCUCCGUUCGUAUCUCAAUGUUCUCGAAAAUCGUAAAGAUAAGUAAACUUUUACGAAAAAAUCACGAAUGAACCAACAUAUCGAACGUCUUAUCGGAAUUAAAUAUGAGAUGACAACUCAUAUUUACUUCGAACCUACUCAGGAAAAUUCGAAAAACGAAACAUUCAUAUAAAACCGCGUAAAGCGGUAAGGGGAUUCGAAGCCACCAACGGCCAGUCCCGGAAAAUUUAAAUACGGCCAUCUAGGCCUAAACGAAAUCCAAAUUUAAAAGGCCACACUCGGCUAAAAACAGAUAAACAAUAAUCCAAUUCAACCAUCGACGCAAAGGAUCGGUCCGUCCAAUCGCUACCUUCUCACCCACCAAAGAUGGGAUCCUCAACGGUCGGUUCUGCAUCAUCCUCAAUCUCGGUCGGCCUUUGACCACUGCUCUGCCUAGUGGCAUAGACAGCAGGCAAGGAGGUAUCUUCAAAAAACACCCCCAUGUCAUCAUUAAUCGACGAACUGAAACGAGAUCGAUGAGCUUCGACUGCAGCGCGGACCCUCUCGGGAGAAAAGUGACCCCAAAACAGCGGGCCACCACGGAGAAGGUUUCGAACGACGCAUAGAUCUUCCGGAAAAGGGGGAAUCGGGUUGUGCACUACAAAAUAAACAUAGUUCAGAUAUAAAGUAAAAAACGGGUGGUAAGAAAACAACAAGCGAUCAUUCAACACGUUACCUCCUACCCCCC
rnacentral:lncRNA from 1 species